UUGGAGGGCAAGUCUGGUGCCAGCAGCCGCGGUAAUUCCAGCUCCAAUAGCGUAUAUUAAAGUUGUUGCAGUUAAAAAGCUCGUAGUUGAAUUUCGGGAUCAAUAUGCCGGUCAUGCCUUGGUAUGCACUGGUAUCUUUGAUUUCUCCCUUCUGACGAACUUUGAUGUCAUUAAUUUGGUGUCAUAGGGAAUCAGGACUGUUACUUUGAAAAAAUUAGAGUGUUUAAAGCAGGCUCACGCUUGAAUACAUUAGCAUGGAAUAAUGAAAUAGGACGUUUGAUUCUAUUUUGUCGGUUUCUAGGAUCGACGUAAUGAUUAAUAGGGAUAGUUGGGGGCAUUAGUAUUCAAUUGUCAGAGGUGAAAUUCUUGGAUUUAUUGAAGACUAACUACUGCGAAAGCAUUUGCCAAGGAUGUUUUCAUUAAUCAAGAACGAAAGUUAGGGGAUCGAAGACGAUCAGAUACCGUCGUAGUCUUAACCAUAAACUAUGCCGACUAGGGAUCGGAUGAUGUUAAUUUUUUAAUGACUCAUUCGGCACCUUACGGGAAAC
rnacentral:rRNA from 1 species